UACGAAGGGGGCUAGCGUUGUUCGGAUUUACUGGGCAUAAAGCGUGCGUAGACGGCUAUCUAAGUCGGGUGUGAAAGCCCCGGGCUCAACCCGGGAAAUGCGCUCGAAACUUGAAGACUGGAGGCCGGAAGAGGGUAGUGGAAUUCCCCAGUGUAGGGGUGAAAUUCGUAGAUAUUGGGAAGAACACCAGUGGCGAAGGCGGCUACCUGGUCCGGAUCUGACGCUGAGGCGCGAAAGCGUGGGGAGCAAACAGG
rnacentral:rRNA from 1 species